rnacentral:rRNA from 1 species
AUUGAACGCUGGCGGCAGGCCUAACACAUGCAAGUCGAACGAGUGGCGGACGGGUGAGUAAUGUCUGGGAAACUGCCUGAUGGAGGGGGAUAACUACUGGAAACGGUAGCUAAUACCGCAUACCAUCAGAUGUGCCCAGAUGGGAUUGGCUGUGGGGGGGGGAAACGGCUCACCAAGGCGGCGCUCCCUAGCUGGUCUGAGAGGAUGACCAGCCACACUGGAACUGAGACAGGGCCCAGACUCCUCGGGGGGGCAGCAGUGGGGAAUAUUGCACAGUGGGAGCAAGCCUGAUACAGCCAUGCCGCGUGUAUGAAGAAGGCCUGCGGGUUGUAAAGUACUUUCAGCGGGGAGGCGUUACCCGCAGAAGAAGCACCGGCUAACUCCGUGCCAGCAGCCGCGGUAUAC